UAGUCUUUUUUUAUUUAAAAAAACAAUCUUUCUUGGAUUUGUCGGUAUGUGACUGCUAACAACAUUUCUAAUGCGUCGACCGUUGGGAUAUACUAAAAUGUAGGAAUUCUGCGAACUGUCACCUGGUUACACCCAUAGAAAUUGCAAAAAAAGUGGCAGAGUGCGCGUAAAAUGAAGCGCCGUUGAAAAUAACCGCGUUUCGCGUUAUUUAGAAAAAAUCUUGAUACCGUUUAAAGUCGUUUUAUUUCAUUAUUCGUGUUCACUUGGAGAACUUUUCAUAAAACUGAAAAGAGAUUUCAAAUUGGUUUUCAUAAAAGUGAGUGGUGCCCAAAAAAAACUAACGUCGUGUAAUAACAGGUGCAAAUGAUAAGUGUUGCUAAAUGCGAUUUAAUGUCAUCGAUAAGUGUCCUGGUGUACAUCGAUAUUCGAUUAAGGCGCGUUAUUCAAACUCGAAUAACGAUAUGUUCGCAGCUGCCGCCGCAAUUGUGCUUUAAAUUUAUGGAACCAAACUCAGGGGGGAAGAGAGGAAAAUGCUUUACGAUGGUGCAUUUGCAGUGGUGUUCAAGCUAACCGCCUAAAGUGAUUGUGAUUGAGAUUGAGAUUGUGAUUGCAAUGCAUGCACGGUAAACAGCGUAUUCAAAAGCACAAGACGUCAAACACAAACAUCCGAUCGACGAAGAUCUCUUCAUGAAGAAAGCUGUAAGGGAAAGAGAGUGUGCACGACUUUGAA